rnacentral:rRNA from 1 species
UACGUAGGGCGCAAGCGUUAUCCGGAAUUAUUGGGCGUAAAGAGCUCGUAGGCGGUUUGUCGCGUCUGCCGUGAAAGUCCGGGGCUCAACUCCGGAUCUGCGGUGGGUACGGGCAGACUAGAGUGCAGUAGGGGAGACUGGAAUUCCUGGUGUAGCGGUGAAAUGCGCAGAUAUCAGGAGGAACACCGAUGGCGAAGGCAGGUCUCUGGGCCAUUACUGACACUGAGAAGCGAAAGCAUGGGGAGCGAACAGG